UGAAUGAACUUUUAAAUUGCACCGAGUACACAAACUUAGGGACUUUACUCUGUGAUGAAUCUUUGAACCCUACAGUGUUCAAAAGCAUUUUAACAGUAAUGAGCCUAGUUUAAUGAAAGAAACUUGGAUUGAAAACUGCUAGUGCUUGCCAUGUAUUUCACUGGAUACUGUGCCAUGUAAAACAUCCUCAUUUGUCGAAAUAUCUUCCUGAUGUUUUCCCACCUCCUUUUAUGUUCAUAUCUUAUCAUGCCAUUCAUCAGCAAGUUAUAGGCCUUCGGUGUUUUGACCAUAUUCUGGAUAAUGUUCCUCCUACGCUGAUAAAAAAUGAAUGGUAAGGAAGAUGCUAUUUACCAUGCUGUUUCUCCUCUCAUAUACUCAAAAGAACUUCCAAUUGUCCAUGUCCUGUAUCCAUGUCUCUUGAAACUUCCUAUUGAUGCGGCAACAAAAGCUUAACCGUACUUUAUGGGUUCAGUAUGACCAUGUACUGCACAACAUCUUGUUAAACCUGGAAAUAGAAAGUAAUGUGAAAAUUACGAACAGCAUUUUUAUCUCAUGUCUAUUCUUUCAUAGAAAGUGUUCCUCCAUUUAAACAUUUAAAGCGCAUUGUAAGUGUUCUUGAUAGAAAUCUGUCAAUAUCAGAUGACCCGGAAGAGUUAUGUCGCAUAUUGUCUUUGAAAAUUUUAAAGAUGGUGAUCAAACUGUGCUGGCCUAGGAUGGAAUAUUAUUGCUUAGAAAUUUUAGAAGUUAUUUUGAAAUUAAUUUAUGAUUUAGAAGAAAGAGAAGAAGCUCUACAGGAUUAUGCAUGUGAGGAACUUUACAAAUGGUGUGAAGAAUGCCUAUUUCUACUUCGUAAUGCAUGUUAUGAAAAAUUUGCGAGUCUUGCUAAUAGCUAUGUUGAUGAAGAAGACAGUCGGCCAGGAUCGAAACUUUUGAGAUCUACUUUGGUUAGAGACUCUUAAAUGAUACCCUUGCAAAUACAGAACUUUAUGUAUGUAUGUAUAUGAAAAUGUGCAUUUAGGUCAUAUAUACAAUUUUUGUUUUGUUUUUUUGGUCAAUAUUACUUCGUUUAAGGAAAUUUUCUUUCCUUAAGUUUUGAAUUGUAUUUAAUCUUUUCAAACUGAUCAAAAUGUUAGAUUUCUGUUUUUGCUCGGAAUUUGUUUUUUAAAUGUGUUUGAUAUUAGUUGUUUAACGUAUCCUUUGUGUUUCUGUGUGAAAUGAAAGAAAGUUAAAAAAUAGAAACCGCUUUUGUGCUCAUUACGUUGCUGUAAAAGUAUUUAUAUUGGCAAGUUGAAAAUUUCAACUUUUACAUGAACAAAAAAAGAAAGUUGAAAAAGAUAUUUUGUUUUUCAGUUUCAAGGGGUUUGCAAAAAUCGUGAAAAUAAGUACUUUUACAGUAUUUUUCUUACUCUUAGUAAAAAUGUAUGAACACUAAUUUGGAUCUAUAUAUAACUUUAAUCUAACUUGAAGCUAAUCUUUGUUUUUGAGUAAAAAAAAAGAAAAAAAAAAUACUCAUCUGUAGCAUGAUAUUUAUGGUGUUACAAAACUCAUACUGUAUACUCAUAACAAAUUUUGAACAGUAAAUUUUUAUCUGAAGUAAAUUCAGCUUUUCAAGUAAAAAUUAGAUCAAAUGUCAUUUGAGGUAGUAUUGAUCAAUUGUUUUGUUUUAAAGAAUUUGAUUUGCUAAAGGUUAACGUGUUGCAAAUAAUUAUUUUUGGAAAAAUGCAUUCAAAAUAUUUGUAUUAAACACAUGGAAAUUUUUGUUGGAAAAAAAAGAAAGAAAGAAAAGUGCAUUUAUGUUUACAAACUUUCUAAUAAAAUCGACAAUUAUUGUACAAUUUUGCUGGAAACUAAUCCCAAAAUAUUUUAAGAUGAAAAACCUUUAGAGGAAGCUUAUGCUUUAAAAAGCAAGAAAUAAAUGUUUUUAAGCUAUUUGAAAAUAAUGUGAGUUUUAAGCCUGUCCUUUGUUUUUAAAAAUGCUGAAAGAAUUUUAUAUUUUAAUUUAAACUAUUGCUUAUAGGAAAUUUCCAUUUCAUUUACUUCUUUUCAUAUGCAGCCUAUUUUCUUACUGUUUUUAUUUGUGAAGUGUAGACUUGGGUAACAUCUAGUUAUUUUAAAUUUUCGAUGCAAAUAGCAUAAUUUGCAAGUUUUAGAAUGGGUGUAGUAAGUCUCACGAGAAUCAAUGACUUAGAGUUAGGUCACCAGUAACAGACACUAGUCCAGUAACAGCAGGGCUCGUACGCGCCUUCAAAACUCCUCCAAUACUCCUUCAUUUAGGAAUUUUUUUCUAAGGGCCCUUCAAACUCCUUCAUUUUGGUUUUAACUCCUUUAAAACUCCUUCUUUUUUUGUUCAACACUACAUAAUCUUUCUCUCUGACAGUCACUUAAAAUACUUCGAUCGACAACUUAACUUCGUCACAAAGGCGAAGGUAUAAGAGCAAUUUUAAUGUAUUAAUUUCGUACAUUUAUUUUUUUUCAUCAACAUGUGAUUAACAAAUUGGUCAUAGAAGUCCUAAAAGGUGAAGGUGAGAAUAUUAUUAGAUGGCUAAGACAUUUCAUAAGUGAAGUAAAACAUGCUUAAGUGGUACUUGGUUAUUUUUUCAAGUUUUAUGAUUAUUGCUUUUUUCUUCACCACACUCUCAGGAACAAAAGUCAGUUUGUCUAAUUAUUUUUUAAACAUUUAAAAAUACAUAAGCAGAUGUACUAUAUUAAGUGAUUCUAUUCUAAAAAAAAUGUUUAGCAAAUCGCAGUUAUGAUAUUGUAAAAUGAGUUGUCCACAAGUGAUGUCAUGCCUUGAGGGGGAGACGGGUUCAUGAAAUUGUGACAAGGUGAAGAGACAAAGUGACAUCAGACAGUUACUAUAACAAAAUGUUUAUAAAAAAUAUUACAUGUGACAAGAGGAAGAGAAAGAUGAAGUGUGGCACUUUGUGACGAAGGCAGAAGGGGGUCAAAGUCAAACAUGCUGAAAAAAAAAAGUGCAACAUCAUUUGAGGACAGCCCACUAGUACUCCUUCAAAAUCUCCUUUUACUCCUUCAAAACUCCUUCAUUUUAUUUCUGAAAUUAAGUAUGAACCCUGAACAGACAGUUAUUAACAGACAAGGGUCCAGUAACAGACAGUCAUAAGUUUAGAUUUAAAUAACAAGUCUUUUAGGUAGGUAAAACUGAUGUUGCUGUGGCUCAUGAAUACGGUGUUAUCAGAGUGAAUUUUAUGAGCCAGUUGGUACUUACAAGGCAGUGGUGGAAGGUUAUGAGCAGCUACCAUGAGGUCAGCUGAUGUUCCAUGUUUGUUUGAAUUUGUUAACGUUUUAGUUCUAAAAAUAAAGAACUUUUGCACAUUUUGAAGAGAAAAAGGAAUUUUGUUCAUUACCCUUCUUUUUCUCAUCCUAUCUGUUACUGGGUGUACCAUCAGAUUUUUCAGUGUCUGUUACUGGGGGGUCGGACCUUUUUUCGAAAUUGAGCAAAUAAAAAUAGAAAUACCUAAUUCAGAGGAUCCAGAAGCAGCCAAGUGUUAGAUGAGAUGUAGUUGCAUGAGAGAAAAAUAGUUUAAAACUUCUAAACACAUUAAAAGGCUCAGGAAAUUGAGUUAACCUAAGAGCGAUGUCUUAAGCAUGUCUGCAUGUCUGUUACAGGUACGACCGUUACCUUACCUGGGUUUUAACGCGAUUGUUUUUACAAUUUCAUUUUUGAGUUUGUUUCUCAAGUAAAUUUCUAAAAACUGUUGUUGAAUAAGAUUGGUACGUGCUUUAGAAUUUUCUCUGUCGACUCAUCCCCAACCGCUGUAACUAGAGUGAUUGAGCUUAGCCUUUAUCCCGUGCAUCCAUUGUUGGUUUUCUAGAUCUCAUACACAUAAGCCAGUGAGACCCAACCCUUUUUUUUUUUAAUGCCAUGCUAAGCACAAAAGUCGUAUCUGCACUUUUUGUCAGAAUUGAGUUUUUUUCUCCAGGUGGUUCUUUGUCCCAUAUUUUAGUGAAAUACGUUCUUUUAUGGUCAUUUGUCGAUAGGAAAUAUUUUUUUAAAAAAUCUGAAAAGUUUCCUCUGAAUGAAAUACAUGGAGGCGCACAAUUUUAAAUGGGAAUUUCUCAUUUUGAACUCGGAUGCAGAUACUACUUUUGUGCUUAGCACGGCAGUAUUACUUAUCCUGUCUGUUGCUGGGUGUCAUUAGAUUUUUCGGUCUCUUUCUGGGGGUUGGACCUUUUUCCAAAAUUGAGCAAAUAAAAAUAGAAUUAACCAGUUCAGAGGGUCCACAAGCAGCCAAACGUUAGAUGCGAUGUAGUUGCAUGAGAGGUAAAUAGUUUUAAAAGUCUAAAAACAUUCAAAGCCUCAGAAAAUUGAGUUAACUUGAAGGAGAUGUCUUAAGCAUGUCUGUGACUGGUUCCGUUACCCUAUGCCUUCGCUAAAAUAAUCGAUUCAGCUGUAAUUGAAAUUUAUUAUGUCUUCAUGGAGUACUGUAGUUGAGAUGAGCGCUGAGAGGUGCUGUUUACCGAUUUUUUUUUUUUUUUUUGCAAAUAUAAUCUAAAUUAGUUUAAAACCACAUUUUCUUUUAAGUACCCCCCCCCCCCCCAAACCCCAAGGUGAGUUCUCCCAAGUAUUUUUUUUCAACUACAGUACUGUCUUCGUAUUAUUGUGGAACCUUUUAAAUGAAUCAUUUAGAAGUAUUUUUAAAAGUACUUCAGGUAACCUGAUCAAUUCCUUUUCCAAUUUAAAUAGUGCUGUAUUAAAACAGGAUAACACAUUUACAAAUUGAUUAAGGUGUAGCUUAAUUCAAGUGCGUUUAACUGUACAAUUAAUGCACAUUUGUCUUUUUCACCGAUUAACACUUUUUAGCAAAUGAUGAUAGCGUUUAUGCAUAAAAGAGUGAUAGUAUUACUUCUUGAAAAUUUUUUUAUUCAAGGGAUUUUAACAUUUCCAGUUAAUCUCCUAUGUGCAAACUGCAUUGAGAUGUGUUUUACCACCGUAUUUCAUCCGAUUCAAACUGAGUUUUACAAGUAUGUAUUAUCGUUUAACUGAAACACAGUAUACUACAUAAUUACUUAUGUCAAAAUGUUUUAGGUUCCAUAAAGGAGAGGAGAAGGGUAGUAGAGUAAACAGAAAAGAGAAAGAAUUAUUUUCAGAAUUGUUUUAAAUUGUUCUAACACAAUAAUUUAGCAAUUAAAUUCAUAGCUUUACUUUUUUUUACUCAAGUAAGUAAACUAUUAAUUUGAUCAUCGUUAUGAAUAUGUCUUAUUUUAAGAAUAAACGGAUUUUUAAUUUUUAAAUAAUUAUUGUUAUUACUAUUUGUGUUCUUUUUGUGGAAGUGGAAUAAUUAAAUGUAUGGAAGAUUUUACUAAAAUGACUAAUCCCAAACAUGGCUUGCAACACUUUUAAAAUUUAAGGUAGCUUUAUUAUCUUGCUAUUUUAAAAUUGUUUUUUUUUCUAUUCAAUAGUUUGCAGUUAAGAACAAAGUGUUAUGAAAUUUAGUAGUUCAUUUUAUUGUUUAUGAAUGUUAGUAAAAAUUUUUUAUUGCCAUAAAUAAAUUUUAUAAUAUGAUGUUACUGCUAAACACAGUUGCUGAUUUUGUCUUAGUUGUUAUUGAUUUCAUAAAGUGUAACAUAGUUUUUGAGCAAUAAAAAGAUUAAAUAACCACUUUACUGUCAGUUCUGCCUUUAGCGGAAUAGUAUCAAAACUAGCUUUGUAUGUGUUAUUGCACCAACUAAUUAUGUAGUUGCCUUUUGUUUUCUUCAAGUUUUAUGUUUGCUUAAUACAAAGUAAAAUUUACCUUUACUGGGAAUCAGAUAUGCGGUAAUGAUUUUUAAAAUUUGAAGUUCAUAUUUGUAUGUCUAUUGGCCCUUUUCAAUUUAUACUGUCGAUAAAGUAUAUGUCAU